CUACUGGAUCUGCUGUGUUUGUGUCUUCUGUGUUUGACCGGGAAAACACUUUGUGAUGAAAACGGAGACAUCGACAGAGAUGGAGCUUCUUCCUCUUCUGUGUCUCUGCCUCCUGACUCGCUCUGGAAUCACAUCUGCUCAACUAAACAGAUCAAAAAACAUGACUAGUGAAAGG